rnacentral:rRNA from 1 species
GAGUUUGAUCAUGGCUCAGGACGAACGCUGGCGGCGUGCUUAACACAUGCAAGUCAAACGGUGACGGAGAGCUUGCUCUCCUGAUCAGUGGCGAACGGGUGAGUAACACGUGGGCAAUCUGCCCCUGACUUCGGGAUAACGCUUCGAAAGAGGUGCUAAUACCGGAUACGAACUCGGCAGGCAUCUGCUGAGUUGGAAAGUUUUUCGGUCAGGGAUGAGCCCGCGGCCUAUCAGCUUGUUGGUGAGGUAACGGCUCACCAAGGCGACGACGGGUAGCCGGCCUGAGAGGGCGACCGGCCACACUGGGACUGAGACACGGCCCAGACUCCUACGGGAGGCAGCAGUGGGGAAUCUUCCGCAAUGGACGAAAGUCUGACGGAGCAACGCCGCGUGAGUGAUGAAGGCUUUCGGGUCGUAAAACUCUGUUGUUAGGGAAGAACAAGUACGAGAGUAACUGCUCGUACCUUGACGGUACCUAACCAGAAAGCCACGGCUAACUACGUGCCAGCAGCCGCCGU